GGAGGACACAUUUUCCCAUUUGAGCACCUUGCUCAAAACACCACUUAACCCAAAGUGAGGUGGGUGGAAACUCGCAGGUGCAUGAUAGCUUUCCAAGACAGAAUUUGUGGGGGUUUCUAGCCAAGACAUCUGUUUUUCUCCAGCACUAUCACAAUUUAAGACCCCAUUUAAAAGUUUACACAUCGGUUUCACGCUGGGACACUGCAGUCUUCACCAAAAGGCUGUGGCCUCUGGGAUCCCACUCACACCAGCAAGCAGGAGAUGAAACCCCCACCUUCCCCCUCCACAUGGCUUCACAGAGCCUACCUAACCCACUCAUUUUGACUGGGGAGAGAAAAAACCCUAAAAAGUGAGAGGAGAAAGGGGCCAAGGAGGCUGUUCAGUGAGGGCAGCCAUUGCCUCAGGCCUCACGCUGAGCUGCAUCCCACACUUAAACCACUUCUGUGUGCAUUUUGAGGUCGUGUCUGAGGUAUAAUUUUAACAUUUGGGCCUAUUUCAGAGGUAUAUUUUCGAGAUUCAUGAGGGACACUUAUUUUUCCUCUAUUCCUCAGGUGAUUUCUGCCUUUGGGGUCGACAUUGCUGCCUUCCUCGAGACUGUGGGGUGUUGGCUCUGCGUUUUCUGAGGAGAGAAGAUGAGGAUGGGAAAAGAGGAGGACGGAGGGGCUGGGGGAGGAAUGGCUCCGUGCCUCAGUUUCCCCUUUCCUAGGUCCUCCAAGCCGCUUGGUGCAGCGCAGGACACAAGGGGGCGCUGUGCUCAACGGCGGCGACCGUCCUCCCCCCACCGCUCCUCUCACCUCCCCCCUCGCUCGUCCCGCCCCCGCGUCUCCCAGCAACGCACCCCACCCGCCGCGCUGAUUGGCUGCCACCUUCACCGCCGCCAUUUUCAAACCACCGGUUCGCCGCCGCCGCCGCUGCUGUUUUCGCCGCCGCCAUUUUCCGCCGAGCGGAAGCGGUGCGGUGUUGUCCCGUCCCCUCCUCCCGUUCCUCAGCCUGACUUCUCACCAUGGAAGCCGAGCCCGUGGGCCAGAAACCCCCUCGGCGGAGAAGGGGCAGGGUCAGUGCUGGGACCAGCGCCAGCCGCUCGCCCCCGGCGGACAGCACCCCCGGUGGGGCCGCGUCCUGCAGCCGGUACCCACUGAGACGAGGCAGCUCUUUCACAUUUCUCACUCCAGGACCACACUGGGACUUCACUCUGGUGAGUAAACCACCGGUGGGUGCACAUGAACAAAAUCAGAAAUAGGGAUGUGAAGGUUCCGCUGCCUGGAGAGGAAAAAAAAUCAACAGAUUCCUAUCUCUUCCUGGAUAGACAUGUACAUUCUGAGGCACUGAGACUCCCGAGCUUUAGCUGGAGGGUGCUUUUCACACACAGGGGUGAAGAGAAGGCAGGAUAUCAUGGAGAUUAUGAUUUCUUCAUAGGCCUCUUACUUUCUGAUGUGUUUCAGCAGAUCAUAGAAUCAUAGAAUUAGCUAGGUUGGAAAAGACCUACAAGAUCAUCCAGUCCAACCGUCCACCUACCACCAAUAACCCCACUAAACCAUGUCUCAACACUGUAUCUAAAUGUUUCUUGAACACCUCCAGGGACAGUGACUCAACCACCUCCUUGGGCAGCCCAUUCCAGCACCUGACCACUCUUUCUGAAAAGUAGUGUUUUCUAAUGUCCAGCCUAAAUCUACCCUGGCGCAACUUGAGGCCAUUCCCCCUCGUUCUGUCAGUAGUUACAAGAGAGAAGAGGCUGACCCCCAGCUCACUACAACCUCUCUUCAGGUAGUUAUAGAGAGUGAUAAGGUCCCCCCUGAGCCUCCUCUUGAGCCAUCAUAGAACCAUUAAGGUUGGAAAAGACUUCUAAGAUCACCAAGACCAACCGUCAGCCCAUCACCACCAUGCCCACUAACCAUAUCCCUCAGUGCCACAUCUCCACACUUCUUGAACACCUCCAGGGACAGUGACUCCACCACCUUCCUGGGCAGUGUGUUCCAAUGCCUCACCAUUCUUUCUGAGAAGAAUUUUUUUCCUAAUAUCCAACCUGAAAAAAAAAAAAAGGAAAAAAAAAAUCUGCUAACCAAACGGGCAAUGGAAUAGCAAGAUGUAAAACAUGGUGUAAAAGUGAAGAUUUUUUUCUUAAACACAAAAAUCUGUAUU
ensembl:lncRNA